AAACAACUUAUCUUUUAUGUGAUGAAGACGUCGAGGGACGGAAAUCCUCUAAAGCCAAGGAGCUCGGAACUGCAUUUCUCACUGAGGAUGGUUUGUUUGAAUUGAUCCGGUCAUCAAAAAAAUCAAAAUCAGCUACACAACCCGAGUCAAAGAAAUCUGUGGACACCAUUGUUUCUUCUGGAAAGAGAAAUUCACAAAAAACAAGUGAUGGAACAGGAAGCACUGCCACAAAGAUUCUAGCUGCCAAACAAUUGGCACCUAGUGCAUCUCCUGCCAAAAUUAGUGGAUCUCCUGCUAAAAGUAGUGCAUCUCCUGCCAAGAAGAAAACCCAAGCUAAAGAGUCUUUACUACCAUGGACAGAAAAAUACAGACCCAAAGCUAUUGUAGACAUAAUAGGGAACAAGUCACUGGUGGAGCAGAUUCAGCGUUGGCUAGAGAGCUGGGAUGAGCAUUUUCUAAAGGCAUCUAGUAAGGGUAAGGGGAAAAAACAGGCUGACUCUGGUGCUAAAAAAGCAGUUCUGUUGAGUGGUAUGCCGGGUAUAGGGAAGACUACAUCAGCAAAAGUGGUUAGUCAGUUGCUGGGAUUUCAAACGAUCGAGGUAAAUGCUAGUGAUAGUCGUGGAAAGGCUGACUCAAAAAUUGAGAAAGGAAUAGGCGGAAGUACUGCUAAUUCCAUAAAAGAACUUGUUAGCAAUGAAUCUCUAAGCGCCAAUGUUGGCAGAUCACACCAUCAGAAGACUGUUCUGAUUAUGGACGAGGUUGAUGGCAUGUCUGCUGGAGAUAGAGGUGGUGUUGCCGAUCUUAUUGCUAGCAUCAAGAUCUCGAAAAUUCCUAUUAUCUGCAUUUGCAAUGAUCGCUACAGUCAGAAAUUGAAGAGCCUUGUCAAUUAUUGCCUACCAAUUGUCUUCCGUAAACCAACUAAGCAGCAGAUGGCAAAGAGGUUAAAUCAAGUAGCAAAUGCUGAAGGCAUUCAAGUCAAUGAGAUUGCUCUUGAGGAAUUGGCAGAACGUGUUGGAGGAGAUAUGCGUAUGGCUCUAAAUCAAUUGCAAUACAUGAGUCUCUCUAAGUCUGUCAUCCAAUACGAUGACAUAAGACGCCGUCUUCUAAGCAGUUCAAAGGAUGAAGAUAUCUCACCGUUCAAAGCUGUAGAAAAGCUGUUUGAUUUUAAUUCCAAGAACUUGAAAAUAGAUCAAAGAAUUGACCUAAGUAUGAGCGACCCAGAUCUUGUCCCACUUCUUGUCCAGGAGAAUUAUCUCAACUACAAACCAAGUUCUGCUGGCAAAGAUGAUAAUGAUUUAAAGCGGAUGAGCCUAAUUGCGCAUGCUGCUGACUCUAUUGCAA
rnacentral:misc_RNA from 1 species